GUCACAGGACUCAGGCAGGACUCAGUGGUGGCAGUGAGCGUCAGGCCUGCCCAGGCCUCGCAGAGCUGGUGUUCAGAGACACCUCGUGCUGCCAUGCGGCGCAGCAGAACAGCGCUCUCCUUCCCGCUAAACGAGGUCAUGGUGGCCCCACUCAUCCAGAGAACUGUGUGACAAGUCACCCAUCAUAAUCACGAGUUGCCCUUGAAUCUCCUUGAACACCCUAUGGCCAUGGCCCAUCUCUCAGCCACCAAAACAUGUCCCGCAUCCACUCAUGGGCCCCACCCUGGCCCAUGUCCCACCCAGGUGCUGCCCCAGCCUCUAUCCUUCCCCAGUGAUCCCUGAUGCAGACACAGGAGACUUCUUAAAAUCAUAAAGCAAGUGUAUCUCUUUUUUUUUUAAUUUUUAAAAACUCAUCGGGGGCUUCCCUGGUGGUGCAGUGGUUAAGAAUCCGCCUGCCAAUGUAAGGCACACGGGCUCGAGCCCUGGUCUGGGAAGAUCCCACAUGCCACGGAGCAACUGAGCCCGUGCGCCACAACUACUGAGCCUGAGCUCUAGAGCCCGCGAGCCGCAACUGCUGAGCCCACAUGCCACAACUACUGAAGCCCGCGUGCCUAGACCUCAUGCUCUGCAACAAGAGAAGAGAAGCCACCGCAAUGAGAAACCCGUGCACCACAACAAAGAAUAGCCCCCGCUUGCCACAACUACAGAAAGCCCAUGCACAGCAAUGAAGACCCAAC